GACGUAGGGCGCGAGCGUUGUCCGGAUUUAUUGGGCGUAAAGAGCUCGUAGGCGGCUUGUCGCGUCGACUGUGAAAACCCGUGGCUCAACCAUGUGGUCUGCAGUCGAUACGGGCAGGCUAGAAUUCGGUAGGGGAGACUGGAAUUCCUGGUGUAGCGGUGAAAUGCGCAGAUAUCAGGAGGAACACCGGUGGCGAAGGCGGGUCUCUGGGCCGAUAUUGACGCUGAGGAGCGAAAGCGUGGGAGCGAACAGG
rnacentral:rRNA from 1 species